UAUCUUCUUGGCUUAGGCGAGCGUAGAGUUGCACAAAGCUCCUUUCUUCCUCCUCAUCCUCAUUUGUGCUUCCGCUAUCAUUUUCAUUAGCCACACAACACAUGUGGGAAUCAAAAUGGAAAGACAAACCUUUUGGAGAGGUGGAUUCAUCGUUUGGUUUCCAUCGUUCAUUUUCCUCUUCCUCUUUGCAAGGGUUAGUAUCACAAGAACUAAAGGAAGUAGAAGCAUCAAAUGAACUAUUAUGUUUGGACUCAUCAAAUUUAGUUUUAAUUCUAGUCCAAAUAUCAUGCGCAUCAUGAAUGGAUUCAUCAUAGUUUGAUAUGAAGGCACGAUAAUCUUCAUUGCUAAGAGAAUUAGUUAAGAUGUCAAAAGCUAGAUAGUUUAAGCGAUAACAUCUUUGAUCCUCCUCGGAAUUAAUUUUUCCAUUAAAACUAGAGGGAAAAAUACUCUUGUCUAUAAUUUGUUCUAGUCGUGGAUCUACGGUUUUAAAAGCAUUUAUCACACUAGUAGACCAUGAAUCAUAAUUAGAACAAUCAUCAAAUAGUAUCUCAAGAGUUACCUCCUUUUGAGUUGCGUUCGUUGGAGGAGUCUUCUUAUUCUUUUGGGAUCUUCUACGAGCCAUCACUUCGAGUUGUUAGACUCAAGAUGAAGUGCCUAGCUCUGAUACCAAUUGAAAGUCGCCUAGAGGGGGGUGGAUAGGCGAAACCUAAAAAUUAAAACUUUAUCCCCCAACUAGAUCCCUUGAUUAGUGGUUAGAACAAGAUAAACAAUUUAUCGGAGUAUAAAAGCUAAGUCCUUUGCUUGUAAAGAAUGUUGCUUUAAAAUAAUGCGGAAUUGAUAAUCAAUACAACUACUAGAUAUAUGGAUAGUAAAGCAAGAAGGCUUAGAUGAGAAGAGCAAAAAGUCAAGUUUCUUUCUUGCGAAGUGUUGCUUCACUAAAUGAGAAUUUAACUUGAAGCAACACAAAAUGAUAUUAGCAAAGUAUAGCGCAAGAGAACUUAGAGAAGGAAAAACAAAUAAAUCACAAGCAAUAAACACAAAUGACAUGGGUGAUUUGUUUUACCGAGGUUCGGCCCUCGAAGGCCUAGUCCCCGUUGAGGAGUCCACUUAAGGACGGGUCUUUUUCAACCCUUUCCCUCUCUCCACCGAUCACACAAGGAUCAGUGAGCUCUUCUUCUUCUCAAGGAUCACUCUCGAUCCCACAAGGACCACCACACUCUUUGGUGUCUCUUGCUAGCUUUUACAAGCCUCCAACACUUUGGAGGAAGUUCGAAUGGGAGCCAAAACUCCACGCGCAAAUGAACACAAAGAUGAAGCACACACUAUCUCUCAAUGGAUCUCACAAGGCACUAGGGCUAAACUCAAUUGAGUAGCUCUCAAUUGCUUGCUCUCUCUUUUGUGGCACUUGUGUUGGUUGUAGUGGGCUAAAUCUUGUGUAUAGGAUGUAUCAAUGAAUAUAUGUGGUUGGGAGGGCUUGAGUAUGUCAACUAGAUGACUUGGAAUGUUGCUUGGACUCCCACACCCUGAAGUGGCCGGUUGGGGUGGUAUUUAUAGCCACCAACCAAAAUAUAGCCGUUGGAGAAGGUUGCUGGCGAUGGGCGCACCGGACAGUCCGGUGCACACCGGACAGUGUCCGGUGCGCCAGCCACGUCAUCCUAUCCGUUGGGGUUGGAGCUGGUCGACCGUUGGAGGCUUUGUCCUCAUGUGGCACCAGACAGUCCGGUGCCCCUCUGUCCUUCUGCUCUGACUUCUGCCGUGUGUACUGUUUCGCACUGUACGCUGUCAGAGUUGACCGUUGGCGCGAGGUAGCCGUUGCUCCGCUGGCGCACCGGACAGUCCAGUGUACACCGGACAUGUCCGGUGAAUUAUAGCGGAGCAGCCGCUGCAAAUUUCCGAGGCUGCCAAGUUCCGGAGCCGCGUCCUUUUGGAGCACCGGACACUGUCCGGUGUACACCGGACAGUCCGGUGAAUUAUAGCGCGCCGGCUCCUGGAAAAUUCCCGAGGCUGAGGAGUUCUGCUCGAGGUCCCUUGGUGCACCGGACACUGUCCGGUGCGCCAAACCAGGGAGCCUUCCGGGAUGCCUUUAGCUCUCUAUUUUGAACCCAACUUUGGUCUUUUCAAUUGGCUUGUUGUGAACCUUUGACACAUGUAUAACUUAUACACUAGAGCAAACUAGUUAGUCCAAUUGUUUGUGUUGGGCAAUUCAACCACCAAAAUUAAUUAGGAACUAGGUGUAAGCCUAAUUCCCUUUCAAUAACCUAUCUUUCUAAUUAUAUUUUUAUGCAUAUAUAUAUUUAGAUGCAAUCAUGGACACUUAUCACACUCAAUCAAAGAACCAAAUCAAACAAGGUUCAUAAGAACAAGCAAGCAAGUGCAUACAUACCUACCAAAAAUAUUUUUUUCUAGGAUUAGGUGUCCUAUUCCUAAGGAUCACUUUAGGUUCAGGAUUCCAAGGUGUGAAAUCCUUUUGGCUUUCAGGAGUGAAAAGGUAAGAUGAAUCAGAGGGUAAGUAGCACAAGAUGAGAAAAGAUAUAGAAAAGAUUAAGGAAAGUUUUAGAAAGAAUCGGAGUAAAGGUAAGUAAGUAGGUAAGGGUUGUCCAGGUCUAUCUAGGUUACAUCCUACAGUCAACAUUGCUCCGAUACCACUUUUGUCACACUCGGAUUUAAGGGCAAACCCGGGCGCGUCUCAAAUGUAUGCUAGGAUCAAGUCUCACACAUAUGAUGACUCAUGGUACAGAAAUCAAUGUCAUAUCUUUAUUAAAUAAUCGGAGUUUCUUUACAAAAUAACUAAAUACAAUACACCAUAUGACGACGAGAUCCUCCACCAUUAAAGUUGACUGGGAGACGAUGGCCUAGAUCUCUCCGAAAUCAUCUUCAUGAUUCUCCUCUGGUGGUACCUGUUCUUAACCUGGGAGUGAUUAUAGCAAGGGUGAGCUCCCAUACGGUCAUCGCUCAGCAAGUGUGGGGAAUAAUGUGCAUGAUCUCACUUACGGUGGGGGCUCAUGUGUAGUGUAAGGCUGAUCAACAAAUAAUGGUUAAGGGUGAGUAUUGCUUUUAAUAAGUUGGUCAAAAUUUUAUUAGCAAUUACUAAGUAUAAGUGAAUACCAACCCAAAAUAAUAGAUCAUAAGUAACAAUAAUAAUGCUUCCCAUAAUGCAAUGCAUGACAGGUUAAGUUUAAUUCCAUAAUUUAAUCAUGCGAGAGUCCUGAGCCGCUCUUGACCGUGAGCACGGCUGAUAUACCAGUUUUACACUCUGCAGAGGUUGCGCAUCUUUACCCACAAGACGUGUUUCCCGUGUAGCCAGGGUUAGCUAGACCCUUAGACACUUCCAAGGUGAAUGGCUAGGGAUCCACUGCGAGGCCUUUACAAAGUUCCACUAGCUUGAGAAAACCCGCUACGGUUUCAGGUAGAGGGGGUAUAGAAAUCCCUCGUCCGAACAGCUAUCACAGACAGUUCGACUCGAGAACCUCCCUAUACUUGCGGCAACUCCUCCCCGCUUGCCCCUUUCGGGUAAGGUAAUCUCUCACUAGCUUUCCUAAUUAAUUGGCCAAGGGCAUCCCAUUAAACCCUUGUGGUAGCACUGUUUUCUCAGGUUAAGCUCCAUGUUCCAAUUAACAAAAUGGUCUUAUUAUGUAUGAGAGUAAGCCAGCAAUAAUAAAUUAUAUUGGAACAUGAUCAUAAUCAUAUAUAGCGUUAAUCCCAAAACCAGGUAGAGCAAUAGCAGAACUACCCAAUAAUUCAUUUAUAUGCAAGGUGUGGGGUAAACAAAACUAGGUAACCUAUUAGGUCCCAUCAGCUUAACCUAACAGUGCGAGCAUUGGUGAGAACAUAACAGCUAACAUUAUUAGGUCAAAGAAUGUGAUCAAGGACACAACUUGCCUUUUUGGGUGCAACUCCAGGUACUUCUCUAAGUUGGGCUUCAGGUUCCUCGUAACCUCACUUCUAUUCGUAGCAAUAUAUACAGAUAGACAAGGAAUAGGUAAAAAUAACAUUACACCAAACAUGAAAACAAACAGUGUAAUAAUAUUCUACGCGUCGCUACAAAACCGUAGGUUCAAGAACCACUAAAAUCGGAGUUAAAACGGAGAAGAUAUGGAUUUUCUAAGUUUUCUAUAAUUAUUCUUAUACUAUAAAUCAACUUCCCACGGUUUAUUCAUUUUUCCGUUUAUUUAUUCCCAUUGAAAUGGCCUGCGGGUUCGAUUUCUAGAGAUGACAGGGUGCUCGGUGUAAAAAUAUGGACCUAUCUGCGAUUACUAUUGACUAGGCAUGGACGGCGGGCUGAUUAUGCAAAAAUGUAGGGACUCUUUAGCAAGUAUACGUGACCGAAGGGGUAUCGCAGUAUAUGGGCCGUUGGAUUCUCGAUCUUCGGCUAGGAUUAGAUUGGAUCACGACAUAGUGCCCCAACAACUACCAACCACAUAUCUGCAGAUCAGCGGCCAACAACUACUGUAUACCAGAGCUGUCCGAUCGGCGAUCUACGCCCACCAUCGCUACUGACCGAAUCGUUACUCAGCUCUUAAUCUCGACCGUUCGUUAGAGAUUCGGUGGUCACGCUAUCUCCUCCUCCUUUACUGCCCUGCGACGACCAGCACGCGGCGGCGCUGUGUGCCGACGGCGGCGCCAUGGCCGCGAUUCCCUGCCCAACACAUCUGAGCCCCUAACCUCGAUUCUAUAGGCGCAUCAUGUGGAGGAGACGAUGGGGAAUUAGGAGGGCAUGAACUCACCGGUGAUUAAGGCCGUGGUGGUGCAGACCACGAGUAGGGCGACUCGGCGGCGAUGAAGCAGCUCCGGUGAGAAAUCUCCCGUACUCCGACCAACUAUUCCACCCGGAAAAUCCACGUAUGUGGGCGGCGUGCACCGGCGACACCUCCCGUGCACGUGGUUGGAGCUAGGCGGCUCGGAGCGUGAAGGUCAACCGCGGCGGCCUUCCCCCCCGCGCUCUCUCUGUCUCUCUCGACCCUCUCGCUCUCGGCAUGCGCGAUGGCGUAGACACGAGACGACUCCGGUGGCGAGGCGGUGGCCAUGUGCGGCCCGUCUAGCCCCGGCGACGUGAUGCGGUGUCUCUCCUCCUCCACUGGCGCUCAAGGACUCGACGGGGUCGG
rnacentral:lncRNA from 1 species